GCAGAAGGCAAAGACAAAGGAAUUAAACUGGAUCAAUUCUUUCCUUUUGUGGGGUCUCUGGAGCUCCUCUUUGCUCCUGGGGCAGUCUUCAAGGUCCUCUCUACAGAAUCCUUAGGGCUUUAGGCCGCCCAGUUACAAACCACUGGCCCAGGUCACCUUUCAAUUUUCUUGAGUGAAGAAAGAUCUCUAAGACACAUGAAGAGAAUAAACUGAGGGACAGAAUAGCACGUGUGGUCUAGAUUUCGUUUCUCCAUUAUUUAUGCAUACGCAAAAGAGAAAGAGCUAGCACAACCCACAAUACCUGUGAUAAGCAUCUAGAAAGGCAGAGGGAUUAGAGUGGGAAAAUCAAGAGGACUUUCAAUCCCAAGUUGUUUGAAAGAUUUUUGCAGAGCUGGGUGCCGUGGCUCAUGCCUGUAAUCUUAGUACUUUGGGAGACUGAGGUGGGAAGAUCACUUGAGCCCAGAAGUUUGAGGCGGCAGUAACUGAGGAUCAUGCCGCUGCACUCCAGCCUGGGCGACAGAGAGAGGCCUUGUCUUUUUUUUUAAAGAAAAUAAUAAUAAUAAUUGUGCAUGUGUGUGUGUUCAUGCACUUAGAUGUUACUUGUGUGAGCCACCGCGCCCGGGUCCAUUGAGUUUCUAUGUGCCAGCUAUAGUAAUAAUUAGUGGGGAUGAAUAAGUGAUUGAGACACGAUUCAUAAGCUCAACAUAAAAAGAGUCCACAUUCUAAAUAGGCUGAUAUUUUUGAAGAAUCGCAGACCACAGAUUUUAGAGUCAAAAGAAAAUGUAAAGAUACUUCCCAUCCACGUCUUAGUAACUGGGCUUGUUUCAAUUAGCAAAACUGAACACAUCUACCUAGAUAGUGGGAAUAUGUUGAUCUAUAUCUGUUAGAAAUUGAUGUAUCCGUAUGUAUAGCUUGAUAAAUUAUAAAUUACCAUUUUAAAAAUUCUUGUGUCUUUUUUCUUUUUUCCUUUUUUUUUGAGAGAGUCUUGCUCU
rnacentral:lncRNA from 1 species